rnacentral:rRNA from 1 species
ACGCUCGACACCUACGGGAGGCAGCGGUGGGGAAUAUUGCACAAUGGGGGAAACCCGUGAUGCAGCAACGCCGCGUGAAGGAAGACGGUUUUCGGAUUGUAAACUUCUGUUCUUAGUGAAGAUAGUGACGGUAGCUAAGGAGCAAGCCACGGCUAACUACGUGCCAGUAGCCGCGGUAAUCUGAGCGGGCUGGCAAGGC